rnacentral:rRNA from 1 species
GGGAGCGUAGAUGGAUGUUUAAGUCAGUUGUGAAAGUUUGCGGCUCAACCGUAAAAUUGCAGUUGAUACUGGAUAUCUUGAGUGCAGUUGAGGCAGGCGGAAUUCGUGGUGUAGCGGUGAAAUGCUUAGAUAUCACGAAGAACUCCGAUUGCGAAGGCAGCCUGCUAAGCUGCAACUGACAUUGAGGCUCGAAAGUGUGGGUAUCAAACAGGAUUAGAUACCCUGGUAGUCCACACGGUAAACGAUGAAUACUCGCUGUUUGCGAUAUACUGCAAGCGGCCAAGCGAAAGCGUUAAGUAUUCCACCUGGGGAGUACGCCGGCAACGGUGAAACUCAAAGGAAUUGACGGGGGCCCGCACAAGCGGAGGAACAUGUGGUUUAAUUCGAUGAUACGCGAGGAACCUUACCCGGGCUUAAAUUGCAGAUGAAUUACGGUGAAAGCCGUAAGCCGCAAGGCAUCUGUGAAGGUGCUGCAUGGUUGUCGUCAGCUCGUGCCGUGAGGUGUCGGCUUAAGUGCCAUAACGAGCGCAACCCUUGUUGUCAGUUACUAACAGGUUCCGCUGAGGACUCUGACAAGACUGCCAUCGUAAGAUGUGAGGAAGGUGGGGAUGACGUCAAAUCAGCACGGCCCUUACGUCCGGGGCUACACACGUGUUACAAUGGGGGGUACAGAGGGCCGCUACCACGCGAGUGGAUGCCAAUCCCCAAAACCUCUCUCAGUUCGGACUGGAGUCUGCAACCCGACUCCACGAAGCUGGAUUCGCUAGUAAUCGCGCAUCA